GUCCACACUGUAAACGAUGAUAACUAGGUGUCGGCUUUCGGAGUCGGUGCCACAGCGAAGCGUUAAGUAUCCACCUGGGAGUACGCCGGCAACGGUGAAACUCAAAGGAAUUGACGGGGUCCGCACAAGCGGUGGAGCAUGUGGUUUAAUUCGAUGCUACGCGAAAAACCUUACCAGCUCUUGAAUCCCGAUCACAAUUUCCAGAGAUGGAUUUUUCGACGCAAGUCGGAUCGGAGACAGGUGUUGCAUGGCUGUCGU
rnacentral:rRNA from 1 species